CCCUUAGAUGUUCUGGGCUACACGCGCGCUACACUGACACACUCAGCGAGUUCCUGUACCGAGAGGUUCGGGUAAUCAUGUGAGCGUGUGUCGUGAUGGGGAUAGAAUAUUGUAAUUAUUGCUCUUCAACGAGGAAUUCCUAGUAAGCGCAAGUCAGCAGCUUGCGCUGAUUACGUCCCUGCCCUUUGUACACACCGCCCGUCGCUCCUACCGAUUGGGUGAUCCGGUGAAUGACUCGGACUUUGACGUUCCUAGACACUAGGUUCGUCGAGGGAAGUUUUGUGAACCUUAUCACUUGGAGGAAGGAGAAGUCGUAACA
rnacentral:rRNA from 1 species